UGUUGUGGAUGAUGAGAAUAUAAAUUAUCACACAGUUAUCCCUGUCUGAUACAUUCAGUGCUGAUUAUAUGUGAUCUGACACAAAC
rnacentral:snoRNA from 1 species